UACGUAGGGGGCAAGCGUUGUCCGGAUUUAUUGGGCGUAAAGAGCGCGUAGGCGGUCCGGUAAGUCCGCUCUGAAAGCCCGGGGGCUCAACCCCGGGAGGCGGGCGGAUACUGUCGGGCUAGAGUCCGGAAGAGGCGAGUGGAAUUCCUGGUGUAGCGGUGAAAUGCGCAGAUAUCAGGAGGAACACCGAUGGCGAAGGCAGCUCGCUGGGACGGUACUGACGCUGAGGCGCGAAAGCGUGGGGAGCAAACAGG
rnacentral:rRNA from 1 species